AUUAGGAGAGCAGGCUACAAAUAACCACAAAAGGUUCUGACGAUAUGGUGACAUGUGUGACGAUUUUACAAUAAUUCUAUAAAAGAGGCUUCAAUUUACUUUCCAAAUCAUGGCUGACCCGGAAUCUCUUCUGAUCUUAUUGCUUGCUUUGGUGGAAGUAAAAGAUCUCACAACAUUAUUUGAAGAAAAAUGAAGUUUUUCCAGUAUCUUAGUCAACAUGUCUCCUCAGCCAACGCCGAAAGCAGAAGGUUGUCUCAUGUAUUUCAUUGCUGCCACUUUAAAUUUGAAAUUAUCAACUGUAUUUUCCACAUUACCCCAUAGUUGCUACAUUUCAAAAGUAGUACAAUAGUGGGAAAGUGUUUGAGGUAAUGAAAAGUGCUACUUAAAUGCUGUGAGCUUUUCACUCUUUUUGUUCGCUAAUGCAGAUUGAUUGUCAUUGUUAUAUGUUUGUUUUGUAUUGAGUUUUUUGUUAAAUAAAUGUUUGG